rnacentral:rRNA from 1 species
GUCUUAAUUAUAGCCUAUAUAUAUAUAUAUAUUUAUUCUACCUAACAAUAUAAAACAUUUAUAUAAUGAUA